UACGUAGGGUGCAAGCGUUAAUCGGAAUUACUGGGCGUAAAGCGUGCGCAGGCGGUUAUGUAAGACAGAUGUGAAAUGCCCGGGCUUAACCUGGGAACUGCAUUUGUGACUGCAUGGCUAGAGUUUGGCAGAGGGGGGUAGAAUUCCACGUGUGAGCAGUGAAAUGCGUAGAUAUGUGGAGGAACACCGAUGGCGAAGGCAGCCCCCUGGGUCAAGACUGACGCUCAUGCACGAAAGCGUGGGAGCAAACAGG
rnacentral:rRNA from 1 species